AAUGCUGACAUGAGUAACGAUAAGGGGAGUGAAAAACUCCCCCGCCGGAAGACCAAGGUUUUCUGUUCUACGUUAAUCGGAGCAGAGUGAGUCGGCCCCUAAGGCGAGGCGGAAACGCGUAGUCGAUGGGAAACGGGUUAAUAUUCCCGUACCGGAUGUGGUUGCGAUGGGGGGACGAAGAAGGCUAGGUGAGCCAGGCGUUGGUUGUCCUGGUGAAAGCAUGUAGGCCGAGGAAUCAGGCAAAUCCGGUUCCUCUGAGGUCGAGAUGCGAGACGAACUGACCACGGUCAGGAAGUCAUCGAUGCCACGCUUCCAGGAAAAGCCUCUAAG
rnacentral:rRNA from 1 species